rnacentral:lncRNA from 1 species
GUUGAUGAUGAUGUGUUACAGCGUAUGGGUCUGCUACUGGGAGGACUGGGAGCUUUAACCAAACACUACGAGAGAGAAUCUGAGUCUGAAUCCAUUAUUACUGUCUGGGACCUUUCAGGAUUCUUACUGGGAAUACUGGGACUUCAUUAAAACGGUUUUUAGAAGGUUCUGCUUCUCUCACUUCCCAUAGUAAAAACAAACAAAGCAAACUUUUUGCAAGUAUUCUAGUCGAUUCUAACAGCAAGAUGAAUAUGCUACUACUGAGCUGUUUUUAAAAGUCGAUUGGAUGAGUUUUCAGGGAGAAGAUGAUCUGCAGCAUCCUGCUGCUCAUCAUCCUGACCUCCUGUGUCUCUGGAACAUUUGUAGUGAAUGUGACCCAGACCUCCUAUCAGGCAGAGGAGAACCACGACAUCACACUGGAGUGGACCUUCACAACCAACCCUCACAGUUCCUCCAACUCUCUUAAUAUCUUCUGUGAACUGUUAACUGAUCUCAGACCCUCAGUCCUGUUUCAUCUCCAUGAAGGAGUUGAGGUCCCAGAGUCUCAGGAUGAACAGUUUGCAGGACGAGUCCAGUGGGACAAAGACGUCCUCAGAGAAGGACGACUCAGACUUCAUGUGUCCAGACUCAGGACUGAAGACUCAGGACUGUACAAGUGUCAAGUGUUCACAAGUCAUGAGAGGAGCUCUGGUAAAUGUUGGCUCAAUGUCACUGGUAAGUUGAUUCAGGAAAACUGGAGUUUUU